rnacentral:tRNA from 1 species
AAGAGGCCUGUAACACAARACAAGACUGCUAAUUUUUUCUACCAGGACUAAUCCCCUGGGCCCCUUA